rnacentral:misc_RNA from 1 species
GAUGAAGAACGCAGUGAAAUGCGAUAAGUAAUGUGAAUUGCAGAAUUCAGUGAAUCAUCGAAUCUUUGAACGCACAUUGCGCCCGCCAGUAUUCUGGCGGGCAUGCCUGUUCGAGCGUCAUUACAACCCUCAGGCCCCCGGGCCUGGCGUUGGGGAUCGGCAGAAGCCCCCUGUGGGCACACGCCGUCCCUCAAAUACAGUGGCGGUCCCGCCGCAGCUUCCAUUGCGUAGUAGCUAACACCUCGCAACUGGAGAGCGGCGCGGCCAUGCCGUAAAACACCCAACUUCUGAAUGUUGACCUCGAAUCAGGUAGGAAUACCCGCUGAACUUAAGCAUAUCAAAAGCGGAGGA